AUAUCAGAACAUAAAUUUAUACAUACCUCAUACCAACGUUCGGAAAAUGAAAUUUCGAUGUGGCGAUUGCUUCAAACCGGACGUGCAGAGACUUGGCCAAUUUAAACCGAUAGAUGACUAUGGAUGUUAUUCUGAAAGCUACGUGAAGUGCUUUUGGGGUCUAUGUGACCAACAGAAAAGCAGUCAAACAUUCAUUACUAAAUCGAAAGACAUAGUGAUAACAAACCAACCAAUCAGACACAAGUUCAUAACACCAGCAGCGAUUAACAACGUGAUUUUAACUGUGAAAUGAAACCAAUUGUACAAUUCCUCAUCAUGUAUUACUGUUACUAUCAAGCAAACUUUUCUGAUUCUGUUUCAACACCUGUCUAACAUUAAUAUUUAUUCUUGACUCUUCAACAUAACUAUUAAACUUGCUCCAUUCUU